AUAAGACCUUGUUCUAAUCACACGUCACCUAACUAUACCGAUAAUCGUACGCGGACACGCUACGUUUGACGCAAUUCCUUCCUUCCUACCUAAGUACUUACCUAAGUGUUGCUGUAUCGCACGCAUUCCGUCCGCUUCGGUUCUCUUUCUCGCGUGUUACCAACACACUUAUAAAGCCUUCUUGAUCCCAAUAAUUCGUUGAAAUCUUUGGAUCUUUCACGGCAAUUCGCCCUUGCAUAUCUCGUUUCUUGCCCGAUCGGACGCAUACGUAAUUAUCUUCUCGCGCGAUCUUACGAUAGUCACGUACCACCUGUGCGCGUUUACGGCAAAUACGUGCCGGAUGCAAGGGGUGGUUCGUUUUGCGCUCCGUUACCCGGUUCGAAGCGCGUGUGGCUCGUGACUCGUGGCUCGUGGCUCGUGGCUCGUGGCUCGAUUUCCGUUCUGACGGGCUCCUAUCGUCAACAACUUUCAACCAAGGGAGGUCGUUUCCGUGAACACGAAUCUGCACCACCUACCUCUCCUUUAGUAUUCUCACGACGUUCGAGCGUUAACGUUGCUCUCACGCAACCAACCAACCGACCACGUGUUCUCCAAUUCACCUCUAAUAUUCGAUUCCUCGAACGGUAUUGCGAGUAAUUCAUCACGUGCUAACGGCGGACAUACGUCACCGUGGAAGGUUAUUGCACCCGUUUUUGAAGGUCGAGGAUUGGUCGGCGGAGAAAUUGGGUGACCGGUGUUCGUGUAAAUUCAUCUGUGUACCGAGGAAACCAACCUGUCCACUAUUCGAUGGCAUGGAUUCUCUGGUGUUACGUAACGCGGAGAAAGAAUGAGAAUUCUCUUUCUGAUUUGUUUCGAAGCGUGUUGGUGAACUCAAUAAAUACCACGUGUUAAACGGUCGGUAUCGAGGAUGCGAGCUUCUGUUUGGUUGGGAGUUUAAUGAAGUUUGCUCACCAAUGAAUUCUACGAAUUGUGAUGGGAAGUGGAGCCCUUUUAGUGAAAGCGAAAUCAUCCGCUUAGUGUUUGUGAAACCGUGAAACUGCGAAAUCACUUAUGUGACAUCUAUUACCUGCGACAGGUAGAUCGUAAAAUCUUCUGUUCGUUUUGUUACGGGAGAAAAACGACCGGUGAUUUCUCGACACGCGAGUGCGGCUUUCGUAGAAAACCUUGUGGUAUCGGCUUUUAGAAAUCCCGUUACGUCUUCUGUUCAGUGCAAUCUGUUGGAUUAAAGGGAAACCUCCGCAUGAAAUUGACGUUACCAGGGAAUGUUAACACGGUGUAAGAAGAAGAAGAGGAAGAAGAAGGCAUUCAGGAAAAUUUAUUUCAACGCGGAACUGGUGAACCAGUACUACUAGUACGCACAGCUGACCUCGAUAGAGAGCUUUCGCUAGUGUCUAAGGAAGCAUGAAAAGGAAACGAAGAAGCCGAAGAAAACGAGAACUCAUGCGUGUUGCGGCUGAUCGUCGACUGGUCGUGGUGGAAUCGUUGUGAAGAAAAGGAGCCAGACUGGAGUCAUCCCGUUAGCAAAACAUAGGAAUAACACAGAACGAAGAAGAGGAAGUACGAGUUAGCCAAGAUACAAGGUAAGAAGCGAACAAGCUGAAACGGGACAGGUAAAGAUCAGCAGCGGAAUCGAGUGUACGCUAAGAAGAAGAAGAAGAAGACGACG